UGAUGAUCGUGAUGAUGAUGAUGAUUGUGAUGAUGAUGAUCAUGAUUGUGAUGAUGAUGAUGAUCAUCAUCAUCAUUAUCAUCAUCAUGAACAUGU
rnacentral:pre_miRNA from 1 species